rnacentral:rRNA from 1 species
UACGUAGGGGGCAAGCGUUGUCCGGAAUUAUUGGGCGUAAAGCGCGUGUAGGCGGCUUGGUAAGUCUGGUGUGAAAACUUGGGGCUCAACCCCAAGCCUGCACUGGAUACUGCCUGGCUAGAGUCCGGGAGGGGAGAGCGGAAUUCCCAGUGUAGCGGUGAAAUGCACAGAUAUUGGGAAGAACACCGGUGGCGAAGGCGGCUCUCUGGAACGGUACUGACGCUGGGACGCGAAAGCGUGGGGAGCGAACAGG